UACGGAGGGUCCAAGCGUUAUCCGGAUUUAUUGGGUUUAAAGGGUGCGUAGGCGGUUUGAUAAGUUAGAGGUGAAAUCCCGGGGCUUAACUCCGGAACUGCCUCUAAUACUGUCGAGCUAGAGAGUAGUUGCAGUAGGCGGAAUGUAUGGUGUAGCGGUGAAAUGCUUAGAGAUCAUACAGAACACCGAUUGCGAAGGCAGCUUACUAAACUAUAUCUGACGUUGAGGCACGAAAGCGUGGGGAGCAAAC
rnacentral:rRNA from 1 species